AAACCUGAACUAGACCAGCUAGUGCUACAGGGUUGACUCUGUGUCAAGUAUGUAGAUAUUAGUAUACAUGUGUAUUUAAUAAACCUGAAGAAACUGAAGCCUGACCAGACACCACUGCUAACUCUUCAACUGCUAUUUGUCUUUCUGAUAGAUGCUUCUCAAAGCAAAGAGAUUUCCUUUCCCCCGAGUAAGGAGCCAGCCUUUGUCACUGUCCCUGGGAAGGGCUUUGCAGACCCAUUCUCCAUCACACCAGGGACAUGGAUCACUUGCAUCCAGGUGGAAGGAGUCCUCCUGGACUACCUGGUGCUGCUUCCCCGGGACUACUAUGAAGCACUCGCCCUGCAAGUGCCAGUCACAGAACCGUGUGCCCAGACAGGAACUCCCCAGGACAACUGUCUGCUUUACCAGCAUCUACCAGUGACCCGGUUCUCCUGUACCCUGGCUUGUGAGGCCACGCACUUCCUGCUUGAUGGGGAGCUGAGACCCGCGGCGGUGAGGCAGCCCACUCCCGCACACCCAGCCAUGGUGGACCUCAGUGGGAGAGAGGUGGGGCAGCCUUUCUCUGGGCUCCAUUUGUGUCUGCUGAAUGCAUUAGCCAGGGCUGCUUCUCCAGUCCCAGAAGGGUUUCUCAGAGGUGUGGAUCCCCAGGUGCUGAGUGCUCUGGUCUGAACUGGGACUGCAGUGUCCUCCACGUGAGCUGUGCUGAGGUUUUCUUUAAGCACAUUUUAGAUGUAGCAACAACCGCCAUAGCCGA